GAGGUGGCAGUGUUGGGUUUCUCCUGACCUGCACUAUGUGCCUGUGCUUCGUCGGCAGACCAUCCCAACACCUCUCUCAAGUCAAUGGUUUUCAGCAGGAGUAAGCAGCAGGAUCUGCUGAAUCAGCAGCAUUGUUUCCUGCCAGCACCAGCCUCUCUACUGCUCGCCCCUGGCAGGUCGGCCCCUGACACGCUCACAACAGCUUCAGGGCUCAGGUCCAAACUGUCAAUGACAUUCCCUUACCUGGGCAUGUGGACUGAACUAGCACUACAUCGGAAAGAACUGGAUAGGUGCAAGGAAAAUGGUGGAAACUUUCCAUCUAGUCCUCUCGAAUCUAUUGACUGGAGGUGAUCCUGUUUCAUUGAUCAUCCUUGAGAUGCUUCUACAACUUGAUUGGAGUCCACUUGUGGUAAAUUCAAUUGAUUGGACAUGAUUUGGAAAGGUACACAACCUGUCUACAGAAGGUCCCACAGUUGACAGUGCACGUCAGAUCAAAAACCAAGUCAUGACCAAGGACCCGAUGGUCACUCGGACAGAGCUCCAGAGUUCUUCUGUGGAGAUGGGAGAAACUUCCAGAAGGACAACCAACUCUGCAGCACUCCACCAAAUCAGGCCUUUUAUGGUAGAGUGGCCAGAUGGAAGCUGCCACUCAGUAAAAAAAGGCACGACAGCCUGCUUGGAGUUUGCCAAAAGGCACCUAAAAAUUCAAAGCAAGAUUGAACUCUUUGGCUUCAAUGCCAAGCAUCACGUUUGAAGGAAACCUGGCACCAUCCCUACGGUGAAGCAUGGUGGUGUGGGGACUGAGAGACUAGUCAGGAUCAGGGGAAAGAUGAACGGAGCAAAGUAGAGAGAGAACCUUGAUGAAAACCUGCUCCAGAGUGCUCAGGACCUCAGACUGGGGCCAGGGUUCACCUUCCAACAGGACAAUGACCCUAAGCACACAGCCAAGAGAAUGCACAAGUGGCUUCGGGACAAGUCUCUGAAUGUCCUUGAGUGGACCAGCCAGAGCCCGGAAUUUAACCCGAUUGAUCAUCUCUGGAGAGACCUGAAAAUAGCUGUGCAGCAGCGCUCCCCAUCCAACCUGACAGAGCUUGAGAGGCUCUGGAGAGAAGAAUGGGAGAAACUCUCAGGUGCGCCAAGCUUGUAGCGUCAUACCCAAGAAGACUUAUUUACUUUGAAGAACUAAUAGUGAUUGUCAGACAGCAUAAGCAGAAUCUACAUAGAGAUAGAUGUCUUGGAAUUAAAUAAUGAAAUCAUCAAAAACAAAUUAAGUAAUAUACCCAACUGAAAUAUUUUAUUAAAGUAAUGUGAAUAAUUGAUGGUUAAUAAGUAGUAAAUGGGUAGUCACUACCAUCAUGGGACUUUUAUUAAUUGUUUUAUUCUGUGUUACAUCAUUCAACCCACAUAAUGCAUAGCGCAUUGAAUGUUUUAAAAAAUUAACAUUUUUUUUAGUCAUCUAAACCAAACCGUCCUCAAAAAGCACUAGAGUUGCUAAGUACUACCAUAUUGCUUGAAACUGUACUGUCCUUUCAGAAUCCCCAAGGUGGAAGCCAAAGGCACAGAAGAGAGGGUGAGUUUUCAGAUUGGAGUCUGGAACUGAAAGUAGCUAGCUAGCUAACGGAAAUACACUCUCAAUAGAGAGGUGUUCACUGCUCUAGAAAAAGCAUGGCUGAUGGACAGAAAAUGAGUGAGUGAAACACUAAUUCUGAGCAGUAAGUUAAUAGUAUCCUAAAUGACCUGGCUGGUGGAUCUGAAUGGAGGUCACAGUAGUGCGGACUGAGGAGAGCAGAGUAUGACAGUUAAUGGGCCGAGGAGGAGGAGGAGGAGGAGAAAACCUGGAGGCAGUCAGAGGAACAACUGCCCUCUGAGAUGACCUGAACUGAAGCAGGUUAAAGAAUAGCCUAAGGAUUUAGGCCUCUAGCCAUGGUACCAUGACUCCUGACUCCUGACUGGUUACAAGAUGUUGGCGGAAGAAGUUCUGGCUAACUCAUUAAUCCAGACUUGUGAGACUCCCCUACGAGAGUCUGCACUAACUAACUUUGAAACGUUGAUGAAAACCAGAAUACUCUGGAUGACUGCAGUUAUUCAACCAAAGGCUAUGGCUAGGCUAUAUAAUCUAGCUAGGCUAUCAGUAAAUUAUGUAUGAUAGGCCUACAGUGCAAAAAAGUAAGAGGGUACAUAUUGCACAAGCUGCAUGCAAUGUCCUUAGCGGGGGUCACUAUGUAGAAGCAUGACUGCUUUGAAAUUUGCAACAAUGCAAAAAGGUCAACUCAAGGAAAGUCUCAAAAAGCAAGCCCUGUAGGAUUCUGUUUAGCAGAAAAACAGGCCCAAUCACAAAAUCAGCCUUUUGGUAGAAAUGAUAUGCAGGUACCACGAUAAUAUCACGGUGCCAGAACAUCAUGCCAAUUAUCAUACCAACAUUUUAGAAUACUGUAGUAUCGUUUCAUAUAAUACUAUUGACUUUUUUUGCCCUAUAGAUCUAAAGAACCUGCUGGCGCCAGUCACUUUAGUUUAUAAAUUCAGGUGAAUUUAAGCAACAGACACUAGUCUCUUGUAUGCGCAGGUUCAAUAAUAUCCACUUCACUUUCAUGCGCAUAUCAUGUGUUGCAGAUUACAGCAAUUGGGGUUAAGUGCCUUGCUCAAAGGCACAUUGACAGAUUUUUCAUCUAGUCAGCUCAGGUAUUCGAACCAGCGACCUUUCGGUUACUGGCCCAGUGCUCUUAACCACUAAGCUACCUGCCCCCCCUCUACCUGCCCUCAAUCAAAUGCUUCUCUCUGUCCGCUCUUCACGUCUAUUCCUUCAUCGGUUUUCUUAAUAAAUCGUUUAGCUGUGAUGGCGAGCGGCAUGCUGACCCUCAUGAGUCUACUGUUGUUAGAUUUGUACAUUUCUUACAUUGGAGCAGCGCACAAAGAAAGCAAUGUUGAUACAUUGUAUAAUUCCAUCAAACACAGACCAGUCUGAGUAGAAUUUGCAAGUUCACUGUCAUGCAGCCUAAGAACGUCAGAGGGAGAAAACGGAAAGAAAAAGUAUUUUCCCUAGCCUAAACAGUUAAACAAUAACCCAUAUUACCGGAGGUCGUGUCUCUAGCCUAAACGGUUAAACAAUAACCCAUAUUACCGGAGGUCUUGUCUCUAGCCUAAACGGUUAAACAAUAACCCAUAUUACCGGAGGUCGUGUCUCUAGCCUAAACAGUUAAACAAUAACCCAUAUUACCGGAGGUCGUGUCUCUAGCCUAAACGGUUAAACAAUAACCCAUAUUACCGGAGGUCUUGUCUCUAGCCUAAACGGUUAAACAAUAACCCAUAUUACCGGAGGUCGUGUCUCUAGCCUAAACAGUUAAACAAUAACCCAUAUUACCGGAGGUCGUGUCUCUAGCCUAAACGGUUAAACAAUAACCCAUAUUACCGGAGGUCUUGUCUCUAGCCUAAACGGUUAAAAAAUGACCCAUAUUACCGGAGGUCGUGUCUCUAGCCUAAACGGUUAAAAAAUGACCCAUAUUACCGGAGGUUGUGUUUCUAGCCUAAACGGUUAAACAAUAACCCAUAUUACCGGAGGUCGUGUCUCUAGCCUAAACAGUUAAACAAUAACCCAUAUUACCGGAGGUCGUGUCUCUAGCCUAAACAGUUAAACAAUAACCCAUAUUACCGGAGGUCUUGUCCCUAGCCUAAACGGUUAAACAAUAACCCAUAUUACCGGAGGUCGUGUCUCUAGCCUAAACGGUUAAAAAAUUACCCAUAUUACCGGAGGUCUUGUUUCUAGCCUAAACUAGAGGUCGACCGAUUAAUCGGAAUGGCCGAUUAAUUAGGGCCGAUUUCAAGUUUUCAUAACAAUCGGAAAUCGCUAUUUUUGGACGGCGAUUUUUUAAAAAUAUAUAUUUUUUACACACCUUUAUUUAAUCUUUAUUUAAAAAUAGGGAAGUCAGUUAAGAACACAUUCUUAUUUUCAAUGACGGCCUAGGAACGGUGGGUUAACUGCCAUGUUCAGGGGCAGAAUGACAGAUUUUCACCUUGUCAGCUCGGGGGAAUCAAUCUUGCAACCUUACAGUUAACUAGUCCAAUGCUCUAACCACGUGCCUCUCAUUGCACUCCACGAGGAGACUGCCUGUUACGCGAAUGCAGCAAACAAAGUAAGUUGCUAGCUAGCAUUAAACUUAUCUUAUAAAAAAAAAACCAAUCAAUCAUAAUCACUAGUAAUAUCAUCAACCAUGUGUAGUUAUCUAGCGUGUCCUGCGUUGCAUAUAAUCGAUGCAGUGCGUAUCGUUGCUCCAAUGUAUACUUAACCAUGAACAUCAAUGCCUUUCUUAAAAUCAACACACAGAAGUAUAUAUUUUUAAACCUGCAUAUUUAGCUAAAAGAAAUCCAGGUUAGCAGGAAAUAUUAACCAGGUGAAAUUGUGUCACUUCUCUUGCGUUCAUUGCACGCAGAAUCAGUGUAUAUGCAACAGUUUGGGCCGCCUAAUUUGCCAGAAUUUUACGUAAUUAUGACAUAACAUUGAAGGUUGUGCAAUGUAACAGGAAUAUUUAGACUAAUGGAUGCCACCCCUUAGACAAAAUACGGAACGGUUCCAUAUUUCACUGAAAGAAUAAAUAGUUUUCGAGAUGAUAGUUUCCGGAUUCCACCAUUAUAAUGACCUAAGGCUCGUAUUUCUGUGUGUUAUUAUGUUAUAACUAAGUCUAUGAUUUGAUAGAGCAGUCUGAGCGGUGGUAGGCAGCAGCAGGCUCGUAAGCAUUCAUUCAAACAGCACUUUCGUGCGUUUUGCCAGCAGCUCUUCGCUGUGUAUCAAGCAUUGCGCUGUUUAUGACUUCAUGCCUAUCAACUCCCGAGAUUAGGCUGGUGUAACUGAUGUGAAAUGGCUAGCUAGUUAGCGGGGUGCGCGCUAAUAACAUUUCAAACAUCACUCACUCUGAGACUUGGAGUGGUUGUUCCACUUGCUCUGCAUGGGUAAUGCUGCUUCGAGGGUGGCUGUUGUCGUUGUGUUCCUGGUUCGAGCCCAGGUAGGAGCGAGGAGAGGGACGGAAGCUAU